GACAUCCGAGUUAACGGG
rnacentral:snRNA from 1 species